GACGAACGCUGGCGGCGUGCCUAAUACAUGCAAGUCGAACGCAGUGGGGACGGGUGAGUAACACGUGGGUAACCUCCCAUCAGAGGGGAUAACACUUGGAAACAGGUGCUAAACCGAUACUGAUGGAUGGACCCGCGGUGCAUUAGCUAGUUGGUGGGGUAACGGCUCACCAAGGCCACGAUGCAUAGCCGGCCUGAGAGGGUGAUCGGCCACACUGGGACUGAGACACGGCCCAGACUCCUACGGGAGGCAGCAGUGGGGAAUCUUCGGCAAUGGACGAAAGCCUGACCGAGCAAUGCCGCGUGUAUGAAGAAGGUUUUCGGGUCGUAAAGCUCUGUUGUUGGAGAAGCGGUAUCUAACCAGAAAGCCACGGCUAACUCCGUGCCAGCAGCCGCGGUAAUUC
rnacentral:rRNA from 1 species